rnacentral:lncRNA from 10 species
GGCACACGGAACAGUAUCUACAAAAGCUCAAAGGGGCUCAGAGAGGAUUGAAACUGAUAGUCUGGCUGGAGAGUCAUGUACAAGGGGAUGGAAGGCUGAGAGAUGAGGCUGGCAAGGUAAGGUUCAGUUGUCGGCACUGGAGAAAUCACACCAAGAAGGGUGCAGAGACCCAUUGCAAGUGACUUGGGAAGAGGAAAACUCAGUCAUGGGCAGACACCCAGUUAAAUGGAAAGCAGAGUUAAAGGAGGACAGCGGGAAGAAUGAGAUCUUGAAAAAUCCAUCAGCAAUUUCGGGACGAUAACAUGUGCACAGAUGAUAUUUUUUAAAAACCUGGGAGAAAGGAGUCAGUGGGAGACACAAUUUGAGAGCUACUGUGGCACUCUGGGGACCAAACUAAAGUGUUUGCACCACAUGCUGGGGUAAUUCAAUCACUCAGCAAGCACUGUUUGAGCACCUGUGUUUCUCUGGCCACACUAGUCUCCCUGCUGUUCCUUGUCCUCACCAGGCAUGCUUCCCUACUCUGCCUUUAAUCUGCAGGGGGAUUAUCAUAGCUCAUUGUAACCUUGAACUCCUGGGCUCAAGCGAUUCUCCCAUUUCAGCCUCCCCAAUAGAUGGGACUACAGGCCUGCACCACCAUGCCAGGCUAUUUUUUUUUCUAUUUUGGUAUAGGUGGGGUCUCACUAUGUUGCCCAGGAGGUCACUAUCUCCUGGGCUCAAGCCAUCCUCCCGCCUUGGCCUCCCAAAGUGCUAGUAUUACAAAUGUGAGCCACCACACCCAUCCAGAGUUCCCCUUUUUUUUGAGGGCUUCCCCCUACUCAGUAGCACCAUUGUCUUAGGUCAUUUUCUGUUGCUGUAACAUAUACCACAGAUUGGGUAAUUUAUAAAGAAAUUUAUUUCUUACAGUUCUGGAGGCUGUAAAGUCCACAUCUGGUGAGGGCCUUUUUGCUGGUGGGAACUCUCUGAAGAGUCCCCAGGUGGUGCAGAGCACCACAAGGUGAGGGGACUGAGUGUGUUAGCUCAGUUCUCUCAUCCUCAUCUUAUGAAGCUGCUAGUCCCAUUCCUGUAGCAACCCAUUAGUCCAUCAACCCAUGAAUCCAUGAAUGGAUUUAUCCAUUUAUGAGGGCAGAGCUCUCAUGACCCAAUCACCUCUUAAAGGCCCCAACUCUGAAUAUUGCUACAUUGGGGGUUGAACUUCAACAUAAGUUUUGGAGGGGACAAAUAUCCAAGCCCUAGCAACCAUUUAGCAAAUGCGUAAACAAGCUGCAAUUGUGGUGACAAGAGAAGGCACAUCACCCUGGAAAGGACCCUGUCUCAUUUUUCUUUGUUUUUAUUUUUUAUUUUUAUUAAGAUUAUUUUUUAGAGAUGUGGUCUCUCCAUGUUGCCCAGGCUGGCCUUGAACUCCUAGCCUCAAGUGAUCCUCCUGCCUUAGCCUCCCAAAGUGCUGGGAUUACAGGUGUGAGCCACCAAGUCCAGUUUAUCUCAUUCAUCAUUGUACCCCAGUGCUAGGCACAUAGUAAGCAUUGAGGAAAUGUUGAAUGAAUGAAUAUCAUUUUUAAGCACUGAGGAAACCUAUUUUUAAAAUAGUAAAUGUUAUUAUCACAACUUUGUAAAAAGUGCAUUUUAAAAUGUUUCUAAAAUCCACUAAUAAAUACCAACAGUAAGCCGGACAUGGUAGUGUGUCCGUAAUCCCAACUACUCAGGAAGCUGAGGCGAGGAGGAUCACUUCAGCUUAGGAGUUUAAGGCUGCAGUGAGCUGUGAUUGUGCCACUGCACCCCAGCCUGGCCAACAGAGCAAGACCCCGUCUUUAAAAAAAGUUGUAAAAAGAAAUACCAACAGCAGUUGAAUGGUGGAGUUCUGGGAAAUCUUUCGUUAUUUCCUUUUCUUUUCUCUUCCUUCCUUCCUUCCUUCCUUUCUCUUUCUUUCUUUCCUUUUUUUUUUUUUUUGACAGUGUCUUGCUGUCGCCCAGGCUGGAGUGCAGUAGUGCAAUCUUGGCUCGCUGCAACCUCUGCCUCCUGGGCUCAAGCACACCUCAACCUCCCUAGUAGCUGGGAUUCCAGGCGCAUGCCACCACGCCCAUCUAAUUUUUCUAUUUUUAGUAGAGAUGGGAUUUUGCCAUGUUGGCCAGGCUGGUCUUGAACUCCUGACCUCAAGUGAUCCACCUGCCUCGGCCUCCCAAAGUGCUGGGAUUACAGGCAUGAGCCACUGUACCUGGCCUUUUUCUUUCUUUUCUGUAUUUUUCCCAUUUUGUGUACUAUAGCAACAUUUUUAAUAAUGAAUAAAGUAUAUUUUAGUCCCAUCCACACCUUCCUUCCUCCCAAAAAAGGAAUUGUGAGAAUUACAAUUUACAACCUAAUAUUUUAAAAGUCUUGUGCCAUGUAAAGUGUAAAUGACGAAGACUGAGAAACCAUGACCUGAACUUUAUAAUGCAAUGAAAUAAAGUUUACCACACUCUGACGUGUCUGACAAUAUGCAUGAGGAUUGUGUAGCUGGGCAUGACCAACAAUUCUCAUAAAACACUGUGAUUGGUAUUACUUGAAACAGCCAAACUGGCCUCUGUCAGAUGCUUGGGGAAGGGAGGCGGGAACUGGAUGGGGUGUGUGUGGCUCUGUUGGCCUCAGAAGACCCCUGGAUCCAUAACCCAGGUAUGCCACUUUGCUGGCAGAGAAGGCCAGGACCUGGGAGCUCCGAGGACCUCCGGCUGACAGAUUUGCAGCCUCCAAGUGGGGCUGGUGCUGCACAGGCUUCACAAAGGAGCUUUUUACCACAACAGGAACGGCACGAACACCCCAAACUCUGCUUUCCUUCCCUUCCCAGCCUUCUAGAUAUGGAGAGUUCAUAAGGAUACUGCCUGAAAUGUCAUCAAUAAAAAUGUGUUGGGCAGCAGAACGAUUGCCUUUGAGAGGGCUAGAGGAGAGAAUAUUCAUUCACACAACAAAUGUUUAUUGAGAAUCUACUAUAUGCCAAGCAUAAGGGAGGUCCUGUGCAUACAUGGUGUCAUUUCCUUGCAUCAGCCUGAUGAAGAUGCUAUUAGACCCCACUAUACAGAUAAUGAAACAGGCUGGGAAAUGUUAAGUUAGUGACACUGAGUCACACAUUUAAGUAAGUGGUGGUAGUGGGGAGGGAGGUGGAAAGGGAGGGAGGAGGGACUCAAACACAGCCCCAUCAGAGGUGGAGAGCCUCUCUUCCCACAUUGCGCAUUGCACAACAGCAGAGGUUUCCAGACUUCAUGCUUACAGCCUUUGUGACCAUCAGCAGCUACUCUGGGUCUCGGUCUCCUUGUUUAUAAAAAUAAAGUGCUUGAAUGGCUCACACCUGCAAUCCCAGCA